rnacentral:lncRNA from 1 species
CGCAGCUUGCUCUCCGGGUUCUGGAAUUUUCAAAGAUCGAAAUACACUAAAUGGAAAUGCCACUUCUAAAGACAGGAAGGGUAACCUUCAUCUCCAUCCGUCAGGCAUCCUCUAGUGGCUCUGAGGCCCCAGCCCCCUUUCUGCUGAUGGAUGGAGGACCCAGGCUGACCCCAGGCUGCUCACCUGCUCCUGCAGGGUCCAGGAAAGGGCUGGGGAAGUCAGAGAAGGAUCCCCGAGUGCGGAGAAGCCACCCCUCCUGGAAAGUGUCCUGGAUAUCCCUUGGGUCCUUGCAUGGGCCCAAGAAAGGAAAUGGAGCAGCAGGACAAACUGGCACUCAGCCCCCUCCUCAGGCCCAAGGAGGCAGAGGCCUGGGCUUGUAUGCAGGCCUCAGCGAUGCCAGGACCUGGUCUGGCCUUGCCCUGGGACCUCGGAGAGUGGCCUCCACUGCACUGCCACACCCCCGGCAGUGCUGCUGUCCCUGUCCAGGUGACAGGCAACGUGACUUGUUGAGGUUGCACAC